CCUGGCUCACGUUGAACGCUAGCUACAGGCUUAACACAUGCAAGUCGAGGGGCAUCAGGAAGAAAGCUUGCUUUCUUUGCUGGCGACCGGCGCACGGGUGAGUAACACGUAUCCAACCUGCCCUUUACUCGGGGAUAGCCUUUCGAAAGAAAGAUUAAUACCCGAUAGUAUAAUGAUUCCGCAUGGUUUCAUUAUUAAAGGAUUCCGGUAAAGGAUGGGGAUGCGUUCCAUUAGGUUGUUGGUGAGGUAACGGCUCACCAAGCCUUCGAUGGAUAGGGGUUCUGAGAGGAAGGUCCCCCACAUUGGAACUGAGACACGGUCCAAACUCCUACGGGAGGCAGCAGUGAGGAAUAUUGGUCAAUGGGCGCGAGCCUGAACCAGCCAAGUAGCGUGAAGGAUGACUGCCCUAUGGGUUGUAAACUUCUUUUAUAUUAGAAUAAAGUGCAGUAUGUAUACUGUUUUGUAUGUAUAAUAUGAAUAAGGAUCGGCUAACUCCGUGCCAGCAGCCGCGGUAAUACGGAGGAUCCGAGCGUUAUCCGGAUUUAUUGGGUUUAAAGGGAGCGUAGGUGGACUGGUAAGUCAGUUGUGAAAGUUUGCGGCUCAACCGUAAAAUUGCAGUUGAUACUGUCAGUCUUGAGUACAGUAGAGGUGGGCGGAAUUCGUGGUGUAGCGGUGAAAUGCUUAGAUAUCACGAAGAACUCCGAUUGCGAAGGCAGCUCACUGGACUGCAACUGACACUGAUGCUCGAAAGUGUGGGUAUCAAACAGGAUUAGAUACCCUGGUAGUCCACACAGUAAACGAUGAAUACUCGCUGUUUGCGAUAUACAGUAAGCGGCCAAGCGAAAGCAUUAAGUAUUCCACCUGGGGAGUACGCCGGCAACGGUGAAACUCAAAGGAAUUGACGGGGGCCCGCACAAGCGGAGGAACAUGUGGUUUAAUUCGAUGAUACGCGAGGAACCUUACCCGGGCUUAAAUUGCAGUGGAAUGAUGUGGAAACAUGUCAGUGAGCAAUCACCGCUGUGAAGGUGCUGCAUGGUUGUCGUCAGCUCGUGCCGUGAGGUGUCGGCUUAAGUGCCAUAACGAGCGCAACCCUUAUCUUUAGUUACUAACAGGUCAUGCUGAGGACUCUAGAGAGACUACCGUCGUAAGAUGUGAGGAAGGUGGGGAUGACGUCAAAUCAGCACGGCCCUUACGUCCGGGGCUACACACGUGUUACAAUGGGGGGUACAGAAGGCAGCUACCUGGUGACAGGAUGCUAAUCCCAAAAGCCUCUCUCAGUUCGGAUCGAAGUCUGCAACCCGACUUCGUGAAGCUGGAUUCGCUAGUAAUCGCGCAUCAGCCACGGCGCGGUGAAUACGUUCCCGGGCCUUGUACACACCGCCC
rnacentral:rRNA from 1 species